AUGUGUGCCUUCUUUCUUCUGCCACAGAUUUUUCAGACUCGACUGGGACUGCACAUCAGAUGCCAAGCCACCGAGAGUGGAGGGGAAGAGAGGGAUGUGCUCAAUGGCUUUUUAUUUUAUUUUUUUGGUAGGGAAAUUCUCACCUGGACUGCAGAAGGCAUGAAAUGGACUACACAGUGCUCUAGCAUACAGAUCCAAUCUCCUGUGAAGUGGGUUCUAUCUCAACAACUGAGGGCGUCGGUGGACAUUGUCUGUCAUUUUCCGUUCCAUUCCAUAUCACUCACCAUCUCCAUGUGGAUCCAGAUGAAACUGAUGUGCUGCUCCUGACUCCUUUGAAUCCAAAAAUCCUUCUUUGCUCCAUUUCUGAGAGUUUGAUUUUUUCUCCUUUAACAUCAUACUGAGUCUUUACAGCUCCAUAAACCCAACUUUACUACUCCAUAACUAUCCCAAGUUCAAAUCCAAUUCCAAAUUCAGCCCAAGGGAAAAAGCCACUCACUCCCAAAAACGUGUUCCUAUCCUUCAAAAUUUUUUCCAUUUAUAUUUCAAAUUAGGAUACUAGAUUUUUGAGAGCUGGUGCAGAAGCAACAUGCUGUUUCUUGGAUUUCAGAAGGACUUGACUCCUUGCCUGAAGAACACAUUAGAUUCCUGUUUUCUGAGAGAAAUAGAAAUGAAAAGUUAUGCAUGGUGAUGAAAUUAUAAGUAUCUGAGACAGUUGCCGGAGAUACAAACUUGGGUUGAAAGUCUGUUGGAGUCAGGGAAAGCUAUCGCUUACUGCAUUGGCCUUUGGAGCCUCCUGUGGUUCAAAAAAUGUUGGAUUUCUACUGGCUAUCUUAAAUUUAAAUUUUUAAUCUGUUUCUGAUCCUGCUAAGGACAUUUAACCUUUACUGCUUAGGGCAGUAGUGACAAACAGUCAGCGCUGCUCAGGAUCAGGCUGUUGUGCAAGUGUUUUCAAGCGCAAGACAAACAAUUGUUAAUUAUAGUUUUUCAUACUGGCAGACUUCUCUGAAGUCCAGGACACACACUCAUGAAUUAAUCCUCCUACUUCACCUGGUAAAAAGGCAAACCCUAGCAUUCUCACUUCUCAGAUGAAACAACUGAGGUAGAGAAGUUAAAUGACAUGAAUGACAUGAUCAAACCACAGAUGCAAGCAAGUGUUAGAGUCAAUAUGAAAGGCCUGCUCUCUGCAUGGCAAUAAACCAGAUGUCUUUCAGCGUGGCGCCUCUCA
rnacentral:lncRNA from 1 species